GACGAACGCUGGCGGCGUGCCUAAUACAUGCAAGUAGAACGCUGAAGAGAGGAGCUUGCUCUUCUUGGAUGAGUUGCGAACGGGUGAGUAACGCGUAGGUAACCUGCCUUGUAGCGGGGGAUAACUAUUGGAAACGAUAGCUAAUACCGCAUAACAAUAGGUGACACAUGUCAUUUAUUUGAAAGGGGCAAUUGCUCCACUACAAGAUGGACCUGCGUUGUAUUAGCUAGUAGGUGAGGUAACGGCUCACCUAGGCGACGAUACAUAGCCGACCUGAGAGGGUGAUCGGCCACACUGGGACUGAGACACGGCCCAGACUCCUACGGGAGGCGGCAGUAGGGAAUCUUCGGCAAUGGGGGCAACCCUGACCGAGCAACGCCGCGUGAGUGAAGAAGGUUUUCGGAUCGUAAAGCUCUGUUGUAAGUCAAGAACGAGUGUGAGAGUGGAAAGUUCACACUGUGACGGUAGCUUACCAGAAAGGGACGGCUAACUACGUG
rnacentral:rRNA from 1 species